AUUGAACGCUGGCGGCCGGCCUAACACAUGCAAGUCGAGCGAGCGGCGGACGGGUGAGUAAUGUAUGGGGACUGCCCGAUAGAGGGGGAUAACUACUGGAAACGGUGGCUAAUACCGCAUACUAUCGGAUAACCCAUAUGGGAUUAGCUAGUAGGUGGGGUAAAGGCUCACCUAGGCGACGAUCUCUAGCUGGUCUGAGAGGAUGAGCAGCAACACUGGGACUGAGAAACGGCCCAGACGCCUACGGAGGCAGCAGGGGGGAAGAUGGCACAAGGGGCGCAAGCCGGAUGCAGCCAGGCCGCGGGGAUGAAGAAGGCCUGAGGGUUGUAAAGUACGUUCAGCGGGGAGGCGUUACCCGCAGAAGAAGCACCGGCUAACUCCGUGCCAGCAGCCGCGGUAAUUC
rnacentral:rRNA from 1 species